GUGCCCGUUAGCUCAGUUGGAUAGAGCAACAGCCUUCUAAGCUGUGGGUCGUAGGUUCGAAUCCUACCGGGCACA
rnacentral:tRNA from 1 species